rnacentral:rRNA from 1 species
UACGGAGGGGGCUAGCGUUAUUCGGAAUUAUUGGGCGUAAAGGGCGUGUAGGCGGCUUCGUGUGUCCCCUGUGAAAGCCCUCGGCUCAACCGAGGAACUGCAUGGGAAACUGCGGGGCUUGAGUCCGGGAGAGGAGAGUGGAAUUCCCAGUGUAGCGGUGAAAUGCGUAGAUAUUGGGAGGAACACCAGUGGCGAAAGCGGCUCUCUGGACCGGUACUGACGCUGAGACGCGAAAGCCAGGGUAGCAAACGGG